GGGGUAGAGGAGCGGGCAGGCCAAGAGUACGCUGGCAGAGAAAGGCAUCGAUGAACCAGCGGAAAGGGGCCCUCGCCGAAGCCCAUGAGCUUGGCCAGAAGACAUGGGCUGGGGCUGCGCCGAACAGGUGCAGCACUGUCACGACCGCUGGGUCCCAGGCGGUUGUGGAGCGCUAUC
rnacentral:ncRNA from 1 species